GUUUUCCAGAGUAUCGUAUUUAUAUUUUUACCACUGGGAGAAAGGGUGCAUCUGACUAACCAAAUCUAUUGCUACUAUCCCUUUAGGCUACAAAGAAUGUUUCUCAAUGUGAGUGAUGUAUAGAGAAGACUGCAACCGUAGUCUCGUUCUAACCUUGGUAAGGAUGAUCUAUUGUUCUAUUGGGGAAGCUUACGGAAUCUAGACACCACAAAGGAAAUCCGACCCGCACCUAUAAACCUACCCGUCCUGCUAACGAGAUGUGGGAUGCAAAGGUAACUCGGAAAUGUCACGUUCCUCGCUACUACCACGGUCCAGCUAGUCAGGGGAUAUCUAUGAGUACCCUAGCCUAAAGACCACGUUUACGCUAGCAAUGAUUACUCUAAUAGUCAACCGGAAGAGGAUUAAAGUAAACUCAUAAACAAAAGAACAAUAAAACAAGAACUUACUAGAAUUUAGAAGUCGAAUUACUGAAGAAUCUUAGGAGCAAGCCUCGGGUUAGAAGACUUGAUCCCAUAGGUACAACUCGGAGUCGACACCGACAGGCCGGCCUUCCUCCGAUCUACACCUCCACUCUAUCUCUCUCAAUCUAGUAGAAACUAGAAGAUCUAUUUCUACUUACAUUGGUUGCUAAGCCUAAAAAGAAAUAUUAUUUAGAGAAGAGGUUUUCCUUCGAGGGCACCCCUCAACUCUAUGAUAACUUCUUGUCUCCUCCAGGGGCCAGGGGGGUCUCCUUAUAUAGUCCUCCUCCUCUAUGCGUUUUUGGGUCGGUAGGCGAGGUGGUAGUACAUUAUCCUUGAUCCAAUAGGUCGGUGGAACAUCGUGUGCGAAGAGAGUCCCGAACGGAGUCCAGAGGUGGGCGGGCGCCCAGGUCCUCAGGGCGGGCGCCCUGGCCUGGCCCCUUUCGGCCUCUGCUUUCUUCCCGUGGCUUCUGGAGUCUUCUAGAUGGUAGAAAAUUACGCGGUGCGCUGAUAUCUCUACGUAAUCCUGACAUGUGGGCCUUUCUUCUGUAUUUCUGAUAACCCUCUGCAGAAAUAGACAAACACCAAAACUCGUGGAUUCUGUCAGAUAAAACCCUAAGUCUAGGUGUUGGUUGCAUUUGGAUCCUUUUCUUUAUUUAUUUGAUGAUUAUAUUUGGUACUUAAGGACCGUCAACAACUCCCCCGAGCUAACCUCUUGCUCGUCCCUAAGCAAGGAUGGACUCAAGAGUUUCUGCAGUGGUUUCAUGCCUUAAAAGUACACAUGCAUUCAAGCAAGAUCUCAUCUCUGAGUUAGAAUAAACUGUUAAGACUUAAAACUUACUCAUUUUACCUUUCACCAUGGGGCUUGUAACCGUCACAUGUGUCUGGAGCAGUUAAAAGAUAGAACAGUCAAGUCAAGCGCCAUGUUACUUAUUCUUGAUCAGCUAUAGCUCUGGAGUUUUUGCAGAUUUUCAAAUAAAACUCAGAGAUUCCUUGUAUGACUCUCUUAGAUCUCUCUUUUGUGGUAUUUCUAGAUCCUUUCCAAGGCAGUAAUGGUAUAUGCCUUCCCUCAAAAUAUGUGGUAUUUGUGGUAUAAGGCAUAGUGACAUUGUCUUCUCUCUCACCCUACUCUAAUAAGGCUUUAAUAUCUGGAGCUCAUAGGUGGGAGAUAAAGUGUACAUACUUACAAGACAUUUAUUGCAUAGUCAAACCAUGGAUCCAGAGAAACAAGUCAAUAAGUCAAAUCAAGAUGUGCAUGUGUGGCGAAUGAAUGGUGUAUGGUGAUGGUGAUAACAAUGGUGAAAGUCUAAUUCUACUUUUUCUCUUUUGAGGGGAUACAUACCUUUCUUGCACUUUGAAGCUUUUUGAGGAGAAUGAGAUGCUCUAUAUUUUCUUUUUCUUUCCUCUCAGGUGGGUAUCUUGUACCCCUAAUUCUACUGUCGGACACUUGUCCAUUUUUACCUCUCGUCUCACUUUUUUUCUUUUCUUCGAGGUUCCGGGCACUUGCCCCUUUUUAUUUCCUCGUAUUCUUUCUCUCUUUUUUUCUUUUCUUUUUUUUUCUCUUUUUUUUAGAGCACCCAUCUCCUGAAAUAAUAUAGCAAGUGGUUGUAACCAAGAUAACUUGAGCAUUUAGUUCAUAGGGAAAAAACAAAAAUGUUUUUGGCUAUUCUCUCCCGGAUAGGAGUAGAAUAAUUUUGGGUGAAACUGGAGAUGGAAAUGAGUGGAUGUAUGUGGAUGCAUACUUCCACAGUAGAAGCAGCAUAUACGAGUGAACAUGCAAGUGAAUCUUGAUUUUAACCACAUGACAAGCUCCUAAGGGUCUACACAGCUUGACCACACUCAAUGCUCAUAAGCAGUAAAAAGUAAAUGUGUGGCUCAAAGUCUAAUAAGCAUGUAUAUAUGGCUGUGGUAGGAUUUUAAACUCAGAUCAUACAGGAACUCAUCAUGUGUUAUUUUAAAUAUUUUUCAAAGAUAAAAUUCUCCAGAAUUCUAGCAUCUCUAGGAACAGAUAAACAGCAGCUCAACCUUCCCAUAUCAUAUCCGUUAACAACUUAGACUUUAGAUCAAGUACUCUUCCCACAAGUUUAGGUUUAGAGCAGGUUCAAAUUAUAACAAUUAUGCCUAAACUUGAGAGAGAUUUCAAUUUUAAGAACUAGUCAUGGCAGAGAAACUAUUCAUCAUUUCCAUGUGAGAGUUUAUCAUGAGGGUUCAUAGCAAACUUUAUUUAUUUAUUUAUUUAGGAAACUAAGCAAAGAUAUAUAUAUAAAAGCACAAAGUAUUUAUUUGGGUUUUCAUGAUUAUGCAUCUUUUAUUAUUUGAGUAAAGUAUAAACGCGAGUAGAAACACUUAGCUGGAUAAAUGGGGGUGCUCUCCCCCAAGCUAGAUUUUGACGUAAUUUCUUCUAAUGUAGCUAGCAGGUGGUGGAGGUGUAUUUGAAAGUCGGCAGCACCCUAACAGCGAUUAGGAUGUCCUCCGUCUGCUAGUCUUCUUUGAUCCAUGAAUUCUGUGGAGCUCAAAUAGACAACAAAGCUUUGUGGAACUGAUUAGGUGUUAGCAUAAAUAUCUAGCCUUUAUCAUGUUGAGCCUCCUCGAUAAAUAUUAUUUACUUAGCAGGAUCAUGUACUUAUUAUUUUUAACAUUGUAAGAUGAAAACAUAUUUAUUUUAUGCCACCACAGUGAAUGUACCUAUGGGUUUUAUGCCAUGAGCAUACUCACAUGGGGCUUACUAUUUUUUAACAUUUUUAUUUUCUUUUCGAUAUGAUAUGAACCUGAUUAACUAAGCAAACUAUUGAAGGGAAAAGGAUAACUACCAAGUUAACCUCUUGGCAAGGCGUUCGGUAUUUUUAAGUCCUCCGAACGGGACUCUCCGUUUUCUCAGUCGUCCUGGGAUUCGCUAGGUGGCGUAGUCGGUGAUUCUGGCGGCGCCUCUUCUUCAUGUAUAACUAUCUUCUCUCUCCACACCUGACUCGGUGCUACGGUCUCCUCAGGACAGUUCUGUUCAAGCUGUAUGUCUUCAGAGCUUAUCACUUCUCCUUCGUAGUCUGCCCAUCCGUGAUGAUUUGCCUCCUCUGGUUGCGGUUGCGUUGUCUUCUUGUUGUCCUGACCUCCUUAGAGUUUUCAACUAUAUAGUUAGGGUCAGUAAAACAGCGGCAUACCUUCUCAGAGGAGAAGUGUAUGUGGACUUUUCCAGUUCCAAUAUAGAUGAUGGCUUUGAUAGUGUUGAGGAAAGGUCUUCCAAGGAUGAUGGAUGGAUUGUACUCGUCUUCUCCUAUGUCAAUGACCUGAAAAUCAUCUGGAGCUGAAUGUAUAUUGGUUGUAAGGGCAUGGUUCCAUACAGGAGCUGAUAAGUGACUGCGGCCAUUAUGUUGUCGUCAGAUCCGGUGUCGUAGAGUGUCUUCUGAAAAGAGUAUCCAUUGAUUGUGCAUUCAAUGCUUGGAACACCAGGGUCGUCCUUCUUGAUUAGGAAAGGCGACUUGAGUCGACGAUCUUGACCUCCUCUAACAAGGAUCCAACGUUCUAAGUCUUGUGGACAAGACAUUCUCACCGUGUUCGUCCCUUAGGUGCAUCAUUUGAUUAGGUGUGAACCUUGACGUCUGCACUUCUUGAUACGGUGUCACCCAUGUUCUUCGUUUGCCCAGCAGUUCGAAGUGCGGUGUUGGCAAUAUCCUGCUCAGUGUGUUUGUGCUCGUAGAUCUAGGUCCUUCACUUCGUGGAGUCUGGGAGUUGUAAAAUUCCUUCACGUUUCUCAAAAUGUGUCCUGCUCAUAGAAACAAGGCAGAGAUCAAGUGCAUGGGCUCUGUUGGUGGAAAACACCAACAAAACCAAAAGUGUAUUUGUUCUUCUCUAAUCUUAAGCAUAGUGAUCAAGACAAAGUUGAUGGAUCAUGAGUGUAGCAUUUAAAACAUUUGUUAGAUCAGAUGGCUCAACCUAAUGGAAAGAUAAUCUAUCUAUAUUUAUGUUUUGUAUAUAUCUUCCAAAGAUUGAAUGUGCAAUACUUUAGCUUAUAUGAUUAGGAGUGUGGGAUCACGAAGGUAGUACUA
rnacentral:lncRNA from 1 species